UAUGUGAUCGUCUCUCGCAUAUCAAUAAGCGGAGGAAAAGAAACUAACAAGGAUUCCCCUAGUAACGGCGAGUGAAGCGGGAAGAGCUCAAAUUUGAAAUCUUAAAGGGUUUCCCUUUACGAAUUGUAGUUUAAAGAAGUGUUUUCUGUUGAGGUUUUGGUAAAAGUUCUUUGGAAUAGGACAUCAUAGAGGGUGAGAAUCCCGUAUUUGACCUUUACUUUCAACUUUGUGAUACACUUUCAAAGAGUCGGAUUGUUUGGGAAUGCAGUCCAAAAUGGGUGGUAAAUUUCAUCUAAAGCUAAAUAUUGGCGAGAGACCGAUAGCGAACAAGUACCGUGAGGGAAAGAUGAAAAGAACUUUGAAAAGAGAGUUAAACAGUACGUGAAAUUGUCAAAAGGGAAGCGUUUGACACCAGUGUUGUUUCUCUGAAAAUCAAUUAAAGAACUGUUUAUGCUAAGCUGUUUAGACUUUAUCAGCUAUCUGUUUAGUUUUGAGCUUUUCUUUAAUGCACUUUUCAGUUAACAAGUCAACAUCAAUUUCUUUUGCUGUAAAAAAGCUUGAGGAAGGUGGCUUGAGAUUCGUCUUAAGUGUUUAUAGCCUCUUGCCUAUGCAGUCGGAGAGAUUGAGGUCUGCAGCGUAGAUCCUUCGGGGCUAAAUGCAUUUGUGCUAAGUUAUAGCAUUUUAUAGACAACUUGUUGACUAUGAUUUGUCUUGUAGCUUACUCGCUUAUGUUAUUUUACCUACGCUUAGGAUGUUGAGUCGUAGAGCACGCAG
rnacentral:rRNA from 1 species